CGGGGCGUGGCGCAGCUUGGUAGCGCAUCCGCUUUGGGAGCGGAGGGUCGCAGGUUCAAAUCCUGUCGCCCCGA
rfam:Segniliparus rotundus DSM 44985, complete genome.